UACGAAGGGGGCUAGCGUUGCUCGGAAUCACUGGGCGUAAAGCGCACGUAGGCGGAUCUUUAAGUCAGGGGUGAAAUCCCAAGGCUCAACCUUGGAACUGCCUUUGAUACUGGGGAUCUCGAGUCCGGAAGAGGUUGGUGGAACUCCGAGUGUAGAGGUGAAAUUCGUAGAUAUUCGGAAGAACACCAGUGGCGAAGGCGGCUCACUGGUCCGGUACUGACGCUGAGGUGCGAAAGCGUGGGGAGCAAACAGG
rnacentral:rRNA from 1 species